CCCUUAGAUGUCCUGGGCCGCACGCGCGCUACACUGAGUGUCUGAGAUACGAGUCUGCCUGGUCCGGCAAGGUCUAGGUAAUCGCUAAAAGACACAUCAUGCUUGGGAUAGAUUAUUGCAAAUAUUAAUCUUGAACGAGGAAUUCCUAGUAAGCGCAAGUCAACAGCUUGCGUUGAUUACGUCCCUGCCCUUUGUACACACCGCCCGUCGCUACUACUGAUUGGAUGUUUAAGCGAGUUUCUCGAACUGCUAGCGACUUAGCUUCGGUGAGGUCGCAGUGUGGGAAGUGAACCUAGCUUUGGUGUCUAGAGGAAGUAAAAGUCGUAACA
rnacentral:rRNA from 1 species